CUUAGUAAACACACUUCACCUUUCUUUCUUCAGUUUCAGGGUAGAAAGUCUCCCUUUAACUCCUGAAGACAGUAAAUCACAGUCUGUGUGGUGGUUCUCAGAAGACACUUAAAGGACUGAACUGGAUGCUCUACAUAGCACCCUUGCCAAAAGGGUUCGGAAAUGACUUCCAGCUUCCCACAGUAAUAAAAUGGCACUGUUUGGCAUCUUCGAGGUUACAGACCACUUACUCUAAACUUCACAAAUGGUUCUGAAGAGUAUGGAGCCUACGUAGACUCAUAAGUUCCAGCAACUAGUUGGACUACAGAGGAACAAAGCAGCUUGCCCAUGUCAACAGAUCAUUUUAUGUGGACUCCAGGUUUCUGAAUGAACUUCAACACAGACCCUUGUAGACAUCUGAACUCCAUAAAUCCACAGGUGUUUAAGUAGCCCUGAAGGCUGGGUCAGAUAGCAGACUUGUUCCACUAUGACUUUACAAGGAUUUCGUACUGUGUAAGCAACACUUGCAAGGAUUUCUCUUUACUGCUGAGUAAAACCAGUAGCAGAAAGGGCCACUUUUAGUUUUCUUCCCUAAAGUAUGAUAUGGUUCAAUUUUAUUUCAGUUAUGAGCUGUGUACAUUAGGUUAUCUUGUAUACAAUGUAGGUAGUAUUUUAGUCCUUUGUUCAUGAACAGGACAACUUGGUACAAAGAAAGGCUUCUUAAGUGGAAAAAAAAUCACCAUCUUAGAAGGGCAUUCUAUUACAAUGAUUUUCUGUCUUUCUUUGUAGUGUACUAAGAAAAUUUUGAAAUAUCUAAAUAUUAUUUAUUUGUUCCAUUGAUACCGGAGGAUUUACAUACCUCAGAUAACCCUCCCAUAAAUAAAUUUGCAUGAGGUUAGUGUAAGCAAAUGAGAGAUUCUACCCAGAAGAUGUCUACAAAAUCCAGUUUUGUUUUCAUUUUACUUCUUUUGCUUUGUUUUAGUAAUUGAGCCAGAAACCAGAUUCAAAGGGCAAAUUCAGAGGAAAAGCUAAAAGUUUCAUACAAUGGUAAAUAUACAGUAUGCUUUGAAUGCUGUGAAAAACUAUGAUAUUCAAAUAUCUCUCAGUAGAACAUUCGUUCAGCUUAGACUUGGAAAUUAGGUCUAAAGAAGAAAAGCAAGGAAUUGAAAAGAAAAAAAUGUGUGUUUGAAGAGAAAAAAAAAAAAAAAAAAAAGAUUACCUGUCUGAGUAGUGUACAGUAAUCAGAAACAGGGAAAAGAAAUAAAAUCACUAGGGAAUUUUCAAGAUCAGAAAAUUCAGAGGGAAAAUGUGGAGGUCUAUAAGAGAAGAUCUCCUGCAAAUGCAUAAUUAACUCCAAUAAAAAGCCUAGAGUCUCCAUGUUGCUCAUAUUUUAAGAUUUUGGGUGAUUUUUUGGACAUGUUUAUGAUAAAAGUUUUCUGUCACAUAUUAAAAUUGUAUACUUUGAAGUGUAC
ensembl:lincRNA